UACGUAGGGUGCAAGCGUUGUCCGGAAUUAUUGGGCGUAAAGAGCUCGUAGGCGGUUUGUCGCGUCUGCUGUGAAAACUCGGGGCUUAACUCCGGGCCUGCAGUGGGUACGGGCAGACUAGAGUGCGGUAGGGGAGACUGGAAUUCCUGGUGUAGCGGUGAAAUGCGCAGAUAUCAGGAGGAACACCGGUGGCGAAGGCGGGUCUCUGGGCCGUAACUGACGCUGAGGCACGAAAGCGUGGGGAGCAAACAGG
rnacentral:rRNA from 1 species